rnacentral:lncRNA from 1 species
UUUCAUUUUAAAUACAAGUCCAAAAAGACAGCAGUCAAGCAAGCAUUAUGAUUAAUCAGGAUAAAUGCUGAAUGUUAUAAAUGUUGACAGAAAGGUUUUAUUUUUUUAAAAAAAAAGUAAAAAAAGUUUUAUUUUUCCUUCUUUUUAGUUUAAUUAAGAAAAAGAAAAUUGAAUCAGGGCUAAUAGAAUGAUCCCCUAUUCUGGAUGGUGCACUUAUCUUGUAGAACAUUCAUUUAAAAAACCAAUCAACCAGACAAAAGUAUUGUACAAUCUAGGCUACUUACUAACUGCAAAGAAAUACUUAUUUCUAUCUCCCCAAGGAAAGACAUCAGGAACUUCUCUGGAAUGCUAUAUGAGGACUGAAAGCUGUCUCUGAGUUACAGCUGGUUUCAUCAACUUGAGACAUAGAGUUGACAUUUAUCAAAAGCUUUCUGGCUUCCAACAUGAAAAUUUCUAGAUAAUGUUCAGCCUAGAAAGUGGAAGAUUAAACUUCAAUGUUUCCUGUGAAAAUAAACCUUCAUUAAAAAAAUAAUUACCAAACACCUACUGUGCCAGGCUCUGCAGUAAGCAUCAGAGACACAGCACCCAGCAGAGAAGGAGCCCUAUGAGGUCUCUGUCAUCCUGGAACUUAGUCCUGACCUCCAACAUAAAGCCAGUCCUUUCAUUUAAAGAUGGAAUUGGUUGGAACACAAAGGAAACACCAGUACAAUUCAUAACUACGGAAACCUCCACAGAGCAAUGGAACACAGCUACAUUCCUGCACCUGGAAUGUCUGGUUUCAUGAGCAUCCAGAAGGAAGCGGGUGUGAAACUGAUCACCAACAUGUACAUUCUAAUUAAAUUCAGUCACAUUGCUAAAGCUGAGGACUCACAGAAUGGUUAUAAUGUACUUAUUUAAAAAAUAAAAUUUUAUUCUAAAAUAAUUCAAAUGAGAAGGAAACCAGGCAUAUGACUGUAAGUUAGUACUUAGCAAUCUAAUGAGUGAAGAGUUCUUAAAUAUAACAAUAGUCAAAACAGAAACAAUGAAAAACUUAGACUUUUUUGUUCAUAUUUGUCAAUUAAAACUGAUCAUAAACCAUUUUAAUCUUCUAACCAGUGUCUGUUAUAAUUUUGUCCAUUUUUUCAAUGGCAAAGAUUCCUAUUUAGAGUUCCUUCUUAUUCAAGGGGAUUGCUAGCUUUGUUUUCAAACUGAAAAUAACUUUAUUGUUUUGUGAUUAUAAAAAUGGGUAAAAGUAACAAAUGUUCAUAUAGUGUUUUAGCAAUACAUAAGUUCUGCAAUACUUAAAAGUGUGAAGAACAUGAAAUACAAGUAUAGCCAUCACUCAGUAUCCAUGGGGAAUUGGUUCCAGAAUCUUCCUUGGAUACCAAAAUUUGUAGAUGCUCAAGUCCCUCAUAUAACAUGGUGUAGUAUUUGCAUAUGACUUCCUGUAUACUUUAAAUCGGCUCUAGAUUACAUAUAAUACC